UACAAAAUCGAUUGAAGUUCU
ensembl:piRNA 21ur-5719 ncRNA